rnacentral:sRNA from 1 species
CGCCCCUGGGCCCGGGCUGGAAGCCGGAAGCGAGCAAAGUGGAGCCGACUCGAACUCCACCGCGGAAAAGAAAGCCUCAGAACGUUCGCUCGCUGCGUCCCCAGCCGGGGCCGAGCCCUCCGCGACGCCACCGGGGCCAUGGGGGCCGCACGCAGCCCGCCGUCCGCUGUCCCGGGGCCCCUGCUGGGGCUGCUCCUGCUGCUCCUGGGCGUGCUGGCCCCGGGUGGCGCCUCCCUGCGACUCCUGGACCACCGGGCGCUGGUCUGCUCCCAGCCGGUACCUGCCUGGAUGACAGCUGGAUUCACCCUCGAAACCUGACCCCCUCCUCCCCAAAGGACCUGCAGAUCCAGCUGCACUUUGCCCACACCCAACAAGGAGACCUGUUCCCCGUGGCUCACAUCGAAUGGACACUGCAGACAGACGCCAGCAUCCUGUACCUCGAGGGUGCAGAGUUAUCUGUCCUGCAGCUGAACACCAAUGAACGUUUGUGCGUCAGGUUUGAGUUUCUGUCCAAACUGAGGCAUCACCACAGGCGGUGGCGUUUUACCUUCAGCCACUUUGUGGUUGACCCUGACCAGGAAUAUGAGGUGACCGUUCACCACCUGCCCAAGCCCAUCCCUGAUGGGGACCCAAACCACCAGUCCAAGAAUU